rnacentral:lncRNA from 1 species
UCCUCGAUGUCGCAUUGGCCCCCUGCAAUGCUCAUUGCUCGUUUUGAAAGCAUAUUCUUUAGCUAAAUAAGGAUGAGACCCUCCUACGCUAAAUAACACAAAAGUGAACAUUCUAUUCUUACAUCAAACUAUGUAGAUAGAUACAACCAACUUGCGGACACUUUUUUAUGCUUUAUGGUGUUGGUUGACGUGUUAACACACUGGUCACGUGUUACACUAUUAUCUACUGCUUAUACUGCUUAUACUUCUACAGGCUCACUACCCAUUCUUUAAAGAAGUUCAUCGGGAUGUAAGUUGAAGUGUCCUGUACCCCAUGUUCACACGCAAUACGGUCUCACCGAGGCUACGACCAAGCAACUUUAGCUUGUCGCUCGAACAUUAUUGAUGCGCACCACUCUUUCUAUUGCGUCUUGGGGCUAUACAAUAUUUGCAUGCAGCUUUACUAUUCAUCUACGACCCACAAUCAUUGAAUAUUUUUGUACUACAGCUCGUGACUGUGUACCAGGAUUGACACGAAAUUGCAAUCCUUGAGCUCGGCAGGAUUGAAACGGAUCUCCAAUCCUUGAGCUCGGCUAGAUGUUAUUUCUAGGUGCCAAAUCGCAUUGCCACUGCGUACAAUGAUGCGUCAUUUGAGAUGAAUAAGUUUAGGUUGGAUAUGAACCUCCAGCUAUAAUCCGCAUAUGUAGGAAUCUUGUUAGGCGAUCUCAUUCACCGCUAAAUUGCGGAUUGUCACUUUGAUGAGACAAUAUUCCCGCCGUUAGGGGGAGAUAAGAACACAAGUGUUCAAGUGGAACGACAUGAAUUGUCGUGGGAUAGGUCCACACCAUUAGAUCUGUUUUUUAAUGAGCUUGGAUGGUUGAGAUUAAAACAAAAAACUUAACACUUAUGUCAAACCUACACCGUUCAAGAUUAUUAAAAACAAAUCCCUCAUUUGGAUGACUUAACGAUCACCAAAUUUUCUGAAAAUUUGUAGAAAUGAUCUACUCAUAUAGCCUAAUGAACUGAACGGUGGAGAUUUGAUUUUGUGAUUGAAAAGUUCGUGAAAUGAUAUAUCCCUAAAAAUGAACAAAAAAAUGAAUCCCUCAUUGGAAUAUAUAUAUAUAUAUAUAUAUAUAUAUAUAUAUAUAUAU